UACGGAGGGUGCAAGCGUUACUCGGAAUCACUGGGCGUAAAGGACGCGUAGGCGGAUUAUCAAGUCUCUUGUGAAAUCCUAUGGCUUAACCAUAGAACUGCUUGGGAAACUGGUAAUCUAGAGUGAGGGAGAGGCAGAUGGAAUUGGUGGUGUAGGGGUAAAAUCCGUAGAGAUCACCAGGAAUACCCAUUGCGAAGGCGAUCUGCUGGAACUCAACUGACGCUAAUGCGUGAAAGCGUGGGGAGCAAACAGGAUUAGAUACCCUGGUAGUCCACGCCCUAAACGAUGUAUACUAGUUGUUGCUAAGCUAGUCUUGGCAGUAAUGCACCUAACGGAUUAAGUAUACCGCCUGGGGAGUACGGUCGCAAGAUUAAAACUCAAAGGAAUAGACGGGGACCCGCACAAGCGGUGGAGCAUGUGGUUUAAUUCGAAGAUACGCGAAGAACCUUACCCGGACUUGAUAUCUAACAAAUCAUCUAGAGAUAGAAGAGUGUCUGCUUGCAGAAAUGUUAAGACAGGUGCUGCACGGCUGUCGUCAGCUCG
rnacentral:rRNA from 1 species